AACGAACGCUGGCGGCAGGCUUAACACAUGCAAGUCGAGCGCCCCGCAAGGGGGAGCGGCAGACGGGUGAGUAACGCGUGGGAAUGUACCCUUUGCUACGGAACAGCUCCGGGAAACUGGAAUUAAUACCGUAUGUGCCCUUCGGGGGGAAAGAUUUAUCGGGGUAUGAUGAGCCCGCGUUGGAUUAGCUAGUUGGUGGG
rnacentral:rRNA from 1 species